GCAUCUUUUCUAUGGUCCAACUUUAAGCUAGCCUGGAGGCAACUGUAACAUACCCAUUGUUUAGCAAUAGGGUAAUUAGAUCCCAUACAAUUUUCCCACUACUCCCAAUGAUAUACGGGCAAUCUGGGGGAACCAAGUGACUGUUUUUACCUUCGUAAACAUGGAAGGAGUAAACAUAGCCACUGGCACUUUUGCAAAGUUUGUAUAACUUUAUCCCAUAUCGGGAUCUUUUGGCCGGGAUAUAUUACUUAAACCCCAGUCUGCCCUUGUAGUUCAUUAAAGACUCGU